rnacentral:rRNA from 1 species
UUCGCAAUGCCCGAAAGGGUGACGAAGCGACGCCGCGUGUGGGAAGAAGGCCUUCGGGUUGUAAACCACUGUCGGGAGUUAAGAAAUGCAAGGAUAUGAAUAGUGUCUUUGCUUGACUAAGGCUCCGGAGGAAGCCACGGCUAACUCUGUGCCAGCAGCCGCGGUAAUACAGAGGCGGCAAGCGUUGUUCGGAAUUAUUGGGCGUAAAGAGCACGUAGGCGGCUAUGUAAGUCGGUUGUGAAAGCCUUCCGCUCAACGGGAGAACAGCAUCCGAUACUACAUGGCUUGAGUGCGGGAGGGGAGGGUGGAACUUCUGGUGGAGCGGUGAAAUGCGUAGAUAUCAGAAGGAACGCCGGCGGCGAAAGCGGCUCUCUGGCCCAUAACUGACGCUGAGUGUGCGAAAGCUAGGGGAGCAAACGGGAUUAGAUACCCCGGUAGUCCUAGCCGUAAACGAUGGGCACUAAGUAGAGGGGUUUU